rnacentral:rRNA from 1 species
AUGUGGGAGUAGCACGACGCAGUUACACGUGUUGCAGAGAAGCCGCCAUUUCGGUGCGCUAACUGGAUCGAGAAUCAGGGUACCGCUACACUCUGGACAGGCACAAACUCCCUGGGUGAUCAUUGAUUGCUUGCAUGUUGGGUGCGGGCAAAGGAAACAUGGCAUGCCAGCCCCUUUCCCAACCUUGCCGGUGUCAUCAAGCUUGAGUGCGCCAAAAAGUUUGUCGAUGCCUUCGAAUGGAGGACUAUUGUAGCAACAGGGGCAUAGUGGAAAAGAUUUUGCAUCGGGGCCCACCAUUGAGAACAGAAGCAACUCAAAACCAUCAAGGGGGCAAACAAUUUCCUUGUAAAGCUGGAAAGGAUAAUAUCAUUAAUCAACCAAGUAUACGUGAACUGA